CCGCGAGCAGGACCUGCCUCACUGUGCUGCUCGCUGCCAUCACUGCCUGCUUCAUCUCCCUCCUUCCCCUAGUCCUGAGUCCCCGAGACCGUCCCGGGGGAGGGGAACGGAGCGGGAGGCGGGACACAGGACGCGAGGCCCUGAGGCCGCUCCUGACCUGCGCGCUGGGACCCGCCGCGGAAGUGGGUGGGUGGAAACGUGGCUUCCGGAUGCCAGGCUGUCCCCUCCUGCAGAUCGUGUUGAAGAUUCUGAAGCAGUAAAAAUUUCAAUGACAAGCAAGAGGUGGUAAAAAUACUGGGGUUGAACCUGCCCAACAAUCUGAGCUAUCUGGUUUUGGAGAGCUAUCCUGGUGAUUAUCCAACAUUGACCAGCAACCUCCUGGUCCAUUACUCCAGCUGACUUGUUAGCACUUGAUAGACUUUUGAGAUAUUAUCUGUAAAUUAAGAAAUGAUCUCAACUCUGAAGAAGAGUGAAGUUGUCCCUUUUUGGUAUUGUUGAAGCCGUUGCCUGUGCAGAUACCAUGGAGUAAGAAGGCCUAUAAUGAAGAGUAAAUCUAAAUGUCUGGUCCAUUGAGAAUGUAUUUAUGCCAAUGUGAAGCAUUUCCUGUGUCUUUUUCUCUUUCCUUCCCCUCUUUUUUUUCCCUCCCUCCCUCCUUCCUUUUUUUUUUUUUUUGUCUUUUGUACAUUUCAAUGUAUAAACAAAAUAGUGACUUAGAAGACAAUAGGCUUAACGACACUUCCCAAACAUGGAUGUUAAGAAUUCAACAUUUUGUCUCUAUGAAAUAUUAGUGCACAAGAAGAUAGUGAAAAGUUAAAAUAAAAUCUGUUCUAAUCUAUGAGACAUCUGUGCAACUCCACCUACUAUGUAGCAAGGUAUCUAUCACUUUUUUCUUAAAUCUUUCUAUAAUUUUGUAUAAUUCUAAUAACCCUUAUUUUUAAAACAUUUCUGGCUUGGUAAGUUAUGUGUUGGCUUCUUGGGGAAAGGCCAUAAAAUAACAAAUAUUUCCUAAACCUUAAAUAUAUUCACAAUAAAAUAUAUUUUGCCUUAAGGACAUAGGAAAAUAAACUUUUUUGGAUGAAAGAUUACUGUCACACUUUUUCCUUCAUAACCCCUACAUCUUCUAUUAUUUCUUUCUCCAAAUUUCAGACAAAAUGAAGUUGUAAUUACAAAGUUACAAUAUAGAGCUAGUGAGAGCUAAACCAAAUAAAAUUCACAUUCUCAAGACUAGAAACCAGAAAGUUUUUAAAAGCAAUUUGACCAUUAAACUUAUUUAUGAAAUCUUCCUCUUGUUUUCUUUUGUCUGCUAAAGACCAGAGUUCUUAUAAUUACCAGGGAACUCCUAAAAAAGUAGAUGCAUUCCUUGUAAAUGCUUAAUCAAACAGGCUAUUUCUUCAUUCCUAGAUUAGGUCUACAGAGAACAACUCUUACCCAUCAUUAGCCCCUAAAAGUGUUUUCUUCCAUACUUAAUUUGCAGCCAGUAAGUUGUUGCGGGGGGGGGGGGGUGAAGCAGGAGGGGGUGUUUUUUCCGUGACAGGAAGAGAUUAAUUUUUACAUGCAAGGUCGAAUAUAAAGGUAACAGUAUGGAAUGAGUUUUCUUCCCGUGCAUAUUCUCCAUUUUAUUUCUUGCCUAUUGCUUUUAUGGGGUUUUGUUUUGUUUUGUUUUUAGCUUUUAUGUUGUUAAACAGUUAUGAGCAAAUGGACUUAAUACAGUAGCAUUUUUAUAAAUAAUUCCUGUGUUUGUUAUUCUGCUACAGAAAUUCGCCCUGUUAUUAUAUUCAAAGUUUACACUACUCUGUGACAUUUUGGAAAACAUAAAAAUAGGCUUUUCAUAGGUUUAUAAGACACUGUGGUCUAUAAACACUAACUUCAAUAAAUCACUCAUAUAUUCUAUGACUAAUUUUCUUAUGGGAAACAGAUAUCAACAAUUAUAUGCAUGGGUAUAAUUAUGCGGUGGUAACUGGUCUAUUUGGAGAAUGUUUACUGUGACUCCUGAAUGUAAAAUCCUUGCUAGAAAAUCUUAAUUAGAUAAUGUGCCUAUAAUACAUUACAUAAAACAUGUGAAA